CGGACCUCCGGGUCGGUGACGAAGACCCGAAGGGUCGGGGGCCCUUUCUCGGCCUCCGGGUUGAGGGUCCACACCCCGUUCGGCCCCCGGGAAGUCGGG
rnacentral:tRNA from 1 species